rnacentral:lncRNA from 1 species
AGCAUGAAAGCACAGAAGGAUGGUACCUUCACAGGAAAAUUUUGUUAUAGCGUUCUGAUCUCUCCGGGAGGUGGUUUGGGAGCAUUUUUCAUUGGAAGUACAUUUGGAAAAUGAAUAUUGCUCAUAGAUUGCUUUUUCUAGGGCUGAAUUUUAACCAUUGAACGUGGCGCAGAAUCCAGGAGAACUGAUGUGUUUUGCCCACAGUUGAUCAGUUAAAUCCAAUUACAUAAGAAAAGUGUUACUUUGUUGGCACAUUGCUGUUUUACUAAAUGGAAUCGUGUCUGUUAGUGGUGUGGAACGAGAAAAACAUUAGAAUUGGUAUAUUCUAAUAUUGUGGGAUAUUUAGGAUAACAAUAUUUUAUGUAUUAUUAGGAUACUGAGUUUAUUUAGAAAUAAUUAGAAUAGGUGUAUUACUAUUUUAGUUUCGUCCUUGAUUUCCUAUUUAAAUAUUCUAGCCAUUUUAGGCUAUUUAGACAUCCAUAAAUACAUGGGUGCAUUAUCAUUGAACUGAGCAUCUAACAAUCCUCUAACCCCAUCAUUGUGGUUGUGACAGCCCUAUAGAUUAUGGUUCUUCCCAAUCCUUAUGAUUGGUGGAUUAGAUUUAUCUUUUUCUGUUCUCUAACUGUCCCAUUUCUAUCUGCACUCUUUCUUAGUUCCUUAUCCUAUUAAGGUAGUUUACUGCCACAUGUCAGUUAUAGCAGAUUUGUGUUCUAUUGUUUUUCUGCCACUUGUUAAAAAGCAGGGUAUUAGGGUUUAAUAGUGUUAACACUGUAAGUCAGUUCCUAGAUUUUAGAAGUAAUAGUUUCAACUAUUGUAAGAAUAAAAUUCUUAUGUAGAAAGGAAAGAGAAAUGGGGAUAAAUUUAGAAAAAAAGAUCUUGAUUAUCGUUAGGUUCUCAUUUAAAAAGGUCAUACUAUUAAUCAACAUCCUAUACCAAGUUCUUAUUUAGACCCAUAAUGUUUAAUAUCAAAGCAUUCUCUUAUUUAAAAUUCUCUAACAACAAGAAUUUUCUCAAAUGGUAAUGGAUCAAGCACAAAGAUUCUUUAUACGGGAGCAAAACAGUGCAGUUUUAUUUCACAACAGCAAGUCUGGCAACUUCUUUGAAGCAGUAUCUAGGGGUGGUUUGUGGAUGAUCUAGCCAAUAGAAGAUAUUGAUGAUGCAAGCAAUGACAAACCAAGGUGGCAUAGACACAAAGCAAGAGUGGAGAUUAAAGAUGACACAGCGGACACCAAAGAAGGAUGUGAUUACACGACUCUGUCUCCCUUUUACAUAGAAAAACAUCCAUUCACCAAUAUUUUCCUCCUCCUAAUCAGCUUGCCAAUAGUAAGAAUACACCUUCUACCUGCUUCCUACGCGAAGAAAGUAACUCUGAGUGGAGCGUUAACCUUCUAGAUUUGCCAGAAAAAAAAUGGUAUUUGUGGCAUCAUUUUUAAUCAAAUGAUUUUAGAAAAACCUAAACGAGGAAACCCUCUAGCAUUGAGUCUCUAGUUCUUCUCAUUGAUUGCAGCAAUAAAAAGUGUUUAGAGGAGAGUCUCAUAGUCAUUUACUUCUCAAUCACUGAAGUCUUUCUUCACUUCCACAUGCCACUCCUCUUCCCCCCCGAUAGCUCUAUACAACUCGUGGAUUGAAAUAUUCUUGUGCUGCACAAUAGCAUA